rnacentral:snRNA from 1 species
CCACUUCUGAUGCCAAUCACAUGCCCCAAAAGGUGAUUUUCCCAGGGCUAGGCUUAUCCAUCACACUCCAGAUGUGCUGACUCCUGUGAUUUUCCCAAAUGUGGGAAGCUCAUAGCUUAUGGUAGUAGGGAACUGCGUUCGCACUCUCCCCUU